GGCUGGUCUGAUGGUAGUGGGUUAUCAGAACUUAUUAACAUCCAGGUCACUAAAGUUGGUAUACAACCCCCCACUGCUAAAUUUGACUGGCUUUUA
rnacentral:Y_RNA from 1 species